AUGCACAGGGUUGCAUUCAAUGCACAGGCUGAUUUGAAGAAUGUUGUUGCCUCAGAAAAAGCUUCCAAAUCCAUGUUAACUGAGUACUUCAAGGCUAACCAGGAACACCCUUGGGCUAGGAAUAUAUUGUACAAGAAUUUUCCCGGAAGCUUCAUGUGGCAACAGCAAAAGAAGACUUGGAAGCCUCGGGUCGAGCGUUUCCAAAUUGGACGCAUCGUGUCUACCAAUCCUGCCGAAGGGGAGCGAUACUACCUGUGUGUAUUGCUAAACCAUGUUACGGGAAAAACAUCCUUCGACGAUUUACUCACCAUGGUCGGCGUGCUAUGUGGCAGCUUUAGAGAGGCUGGUGAACGGUUAGGUCUCAUCGAGGCAGACAGCACGCUCGAUGAUUGUCUUAAUGAGGCUGAGCAGUGGGUGAUGCCAUGUUCUCUUAGGAGGCUCUUUGCAACCAUCUUGGUGCACUGCGAGCCAGGCUACGUUCAAGGUUUAUGGGAUAGGCUCCUCGAGCCUAUGUUAGAUGACUAUCGUCGAACACGCACGUCCCCGAACAAGGUGGAGCAGUUGGUGUUGCUUGACAUUAGGGGUAUGUUGCAGUCCAUGGGUAAAGACAUUGUUGAUUUUGCUCUUCCAAGCAUCGAUGAUGCCUUUGACCCAACCGAGGGCGAGUGUUGAGAGGUCAUAGAGGAAUCAACCAUUCAGUUUGACAUGGAUGACACUAAAUUGGCAGCUUCCCUGAACUUGGAACAGAGGGCCGCAUACGAUGAGAUACUGGCGGUUAUUGAACGCGGUGAUGGGGGUGUAUUCUUUGUUGAUGGCCCUGGAGGUACAGGGAAGACCUUCCUUUAUAGGGCGAUGCUUGCCACGGUGAGGAGCCAGGGCAAGAUUGGUAUCGCUACUGCGACGUCCGGCGUCGCCGGUUCUAUCAUGCCUGGCGGCAGGACUGCCCACUCGAGGUUCAAGAUCCCAUUGAGUUGCGAUGAUGGGGCCUCGUGCAGCUUCACCAAGCAGAGUGGGACCACCAAGCUGCUACGUAUGGCCUCAUUGAUAAUAUGGGACGAGGCCAGCAUGACGAAGCGACAAGCGGUUGAGGCAUUGGACAAUAGCAUGCGCGACAUCAUGGGAAUACGCGACCGACCCUUUGGAGGAAAGACUAUUGUUUUUGGUGGGGACUUUAGGCAGGUUCUUCCGGUCGUCAGAAGGGGGUCGCGGGGCCAGAUAAUUGAUGCAACCAUCCGAAGUUACUUGCUAAGGGUCGGGAAUGGCACUGAGGAUGUCGACCUUCAAGGCAACAUAGUACUCCUUGGAGAUAUUUGUCUGUCGUCUACAGGCGAGGUUGACGACCUAGAGAAGCUUAUUGAACACGUAUUUCCGAGUCUAGAAGACAACAUGGCUGAUUCGAAUUACAUGACAUGUCGAGCAAUACUUUCCACAACAAAUGACAAUGUAGACAAGAUAAACAUCCGCAUGAUAGAGCGUUUUCAUGGAGAUGAAGUGAUCUAUCAUAGCUUUGACAGUGCGGAGGAUGACCCAUAUGGCUACUAUGCUCAGGAGUUUCUGAAUGGAUUGACUCCUAAUGGUCUUCCUCCGCAUGCUCUCAAGCUAAAGCUGAACUACCCUGUCAUACUUCUACGGAACAUUGAUCCAGCUAAUGGACUGUGUAAUGGCACUAGGCUUGUUGUUAGAGGUUUUGAGAGGAACACCAUUGAUGCAGAAAUCAUCAUUGGAUAACACGCUGGCAGGAGGGUCUUCCUUCCUCGAAUCCCUCUCUGCCCAUCGAAAAAUGACAUGUUUCCGUUCAAGUUUAAGAGGAAGAAAUUUCCAAUAAGGCUUAGCUUUGCUAUGACCAUUAACAAGGCUCAAGGGCAUACCAUCCUGAUUGUUGGUGUCUACCUACCCAAUCCCGUGUUCUCACAUGGUUAG
rnacentral:rRNA from 1 species